GAUGAACGCUAGCGGCAGGCCUAACACAUGCAAGUCGAGGGGUAACUAGAGUGAUAGCAAUAUUACUUUGGCUAGACCGGCGCACGGGUGCGUAACACGUAUGCAACCUACCUUAUACUGGGGAAUAACUUCGAGAAAUCGGCGCUAAUACCCAUAACACUGCGGAGAGGCAUCUCUUUGCAGUUAAAGCUCCGGCGGUAUAAGAUGGGCAUGCGUCCAAUUAGCUAGUUGGUGAGGUAACGGCUCACCAAGGCUACGAUUGGUAGGGGUUCUGAAAGGAUGAUCCCCCACACUGGUACUGAGACACGGACCAGACUCCUACGGGAGGCAGCAGUGAGGAAUAUUGCGCAAUGGACGAAAGUCUGACGCAGCCAUGCCGCGUGCAGGAUGACGGCCCUAUGGGUUGUAAACUGCUUUUGUACGGGAAUAAACCCUUCUACGUGUAGGAGGCUGAAGGUACCGUAAGAAUAAGCACCGGCUAACUCCGUGCCAGCAGCCGCAGUAA
rnacentral:rRNA from 1 species